CACGUAGGGGGCGAGCGUUGUCCGGAUUUAUUGGGCGUAAAGAGCUCGUAGGCGGCUCAGUAAGUCAGGUGUGAAAACUCCAGGCUCAACCUGGAGACGCCACCUGAUACUGCUGUGGCUAGAGUCCGGUAGGGGAGCAUGGAAUUCCUGGUGUAGCGGUGAAAUGCGCAGAUAUCAGGAGGAACACCAGUGGCGAAGGCGGUGCUCUGGGCCGAUACUGACGCUGAGGAGCGAAAGCGUGGGGAGCGAACAGG
rnacentral:rRNA from 1 species